rnacentral:rRNA from 1 species
UACGGGGGGGGCAAGCGUUGUUCGGAAUUACUGGGCGUAAAGGGCUCGUAGGCGGCCAACUAAGUCAGACGUGAAAUCCCUCGGCUUAACCGGGGAACUGCGUCUGAUACUGGAUGGCUUGAGUUCGGGAGAGGGAUGCGGAAUUCCAGGUGUAGCGGUGAAAUGCGUAGAUAUCUGGAGGAACACCGGUGGCGAAGGCGGCAUCCUGGACCGAUACUGACACUGAGGAGCGAAAGCGUGGGGAGCGAACAGG